rnacentral:rRNA from 1 species
GGGUUGUGAGGUUAAGCGACUAAGCGUACACGGUGGAUGCCCUGGCAGUCAGAGGCGAUGAAGGGCGUGCUAAUCUGCGAUAAGCGCCGGUAAGGUGAUAUGAACCGUUAUAACCGGCGAUACCCGAAUGGGGAAACCCAGUGUGAUUCGUCACACUAUCAUUAACUGAAUCCAUAGGUUAAUGAGGCGAACCGGGGGAACUGAAACAUCUAAGUACCCCGAGGAAAAGAAAUCAACCGAGAUUCCCCCAGUAGCGGCGAGCGAACGGGGAGGAGCCCAGAGCCUGAAUCAGCAUGUGUGUUAGUGGAAGCGUCUGGAAAGGCGCGCGAUACAGGGUGACAGCCCCGUACACAAAAGCGCAUGUGCUGUGAGCUCGAUGAGUAGGGCGGGACACGUGGUAUCCUGUCUGAAUAUGGGGGGACCAUCCUCCAAGGCUAAAUACUCCUGACUGACCGAUAGUGAACCAGUACCGUGAGGGAAAGGCGAAAAGAACCCCGGCGAGGGGAGUGAAAAAGAACCUGAAACCGUGUACGUACAAGCAGUGGGAGCCCCACCACCAAAGCAUUCUCUGGUGUUGAAGGCCCUGCAAAGCAGCAUCGCGGUGGCGGAGCGUCGUUUGCGACGCCCAACACACAAAACAAGCGGUGAGUGCUUUGGGGUGGGGUGACUGCGUACCUUUUGUAUAAUGGGUCAGCGACUUAUAUUCUGUAGCAAGGUUAACCGUCUAGGGGAGCCGCAGGGAAACCGAGUCUUAAUUGGGCGUUAAGUUGCAGGGUAUAGACCCGAAACCCGGUGAUCUAGCCAUGGGCAGGUUGAAGGUUGGGUAACACUAACUGGAGGACCGAACCGACUAAUGUUGAAAAAUUAGCGGAUGACCUGUGGCUGGGGGUGAAAGGCCAAUCAAACCGGGAGAUAGCUGGUUCUCCCCGAAAGCUAUUUAGGUAGCGCCUCGUGAAUUCAUCUCCGGGGGUAGAGCACUGUUUCGGCUAGGGGGCCAUCCCGGCUUACCAACCCGAUGCAAACUGCGAAUACCGGAGAAUGUUAUCACGGGAGACACACGGCGGGUGCUAACGUCCGUCGUGAAGAGGGAAACAACCCAGACCGCCAGCUAAGGUCCCAAAGUCAUGGUUAAGUGGGAAACGAUGUGGGAAGGCCCAGACAGCCAGGAUGUUGGCUUAGAAGCAGCCAUCAUUUAAAGAAAGCGUAAUAGCUCACUGGUCGAGUCGGCCUGCGCGGAAGAUGUAACGGGGCUAAACCAUGCACCGAAGCUGCGGCAGCGAACGUAUCACUUAAAGCGAUUCAGCGGGUUACGAUUGACGGAGCGAAGCGACGUCAAAGCGUAUACAAAGUCGAGUCGGUUUAAGGAUACGUUCGUUGGGUAGGGGAGCGUUCUGUAAGCCUGUGAAGGUGGCCUGUGAGGGUUGCUGGAGGUAUCAGAAGUGCGAAUGCUGACAUAAGUAACGAUAAAGCGGGUGAAAAGCCCGCUCGCCGGAAGACCAAGGGUUCCUGUCCAACGUUAAUCGGGGCAGGGUGAGUCGACCCCUAAGGCGAGGCCGAAAGGCGUAGUCGAUGGGAAACGGGUUAAUAUUCCCGUACUUGGUGUUACUGCGAAGGGGGGACGGAGAAGGCUAUGUUGGCCGGGCGACGGUUGUCCCGGUUUAAGCGUGUAGGUGUGUGUUCCAGGUAAAUCCGGUUCACUUUAACACUGAGGCGUGACGACGAGGCACUACGGUGCUGAAGCAACAAAUGCCCUGCUUCCAGGAAAAGCCUCUAAGCAUCAGGUAACAUCAAAUCGUACCCCAAACCGACACAGGUGGUCAGGUAGAGAAUACCAAGGCGCUUGAGAGAACUCGGGUGAAGGAACUAGGCAAAAUGGUGCCGUAACUUCGGGAGAAGGCACGCUGACACGUAGGUGAAGUGAUUUACUCACGGAGCUGAAGUCAGUCGAAGAUACCAGCUGGCUGCAACUGUUUAUUAAAAACACAGCACUGUGCAAACACGAAAGUGGACGUAUACGGUGUGACGCCUGCCCGGUGCCGGAAGGUUAAUUGAUGGGGUCAGCGCAAGCGAAGCUCCUGAUCGAAGCCCCGGUAAACGGCGGCCGUAACUAUAACGGUCCUAAGGUAGCGAAAUUCCUUGUCGGGUAAGUUCCGACCUGCACGAAUGGCGUAAUGAUGGCCAGGCUGUCUCCACCCGAGACUCAGUGAAAUUGAACUCGCUGUGAAGAUGCAGUGUACCCGCGGCAAGACGGAAAGACCCCGUGAACCUUUACUAUAGCUUGACACUGAACAUUGAGCCUUGAUGUGUAGGAUAGGUGGGAGGCUUUGAAGCGUGGACGCCAGUCUGCGUGGAGCCGACCUUGAAAUACCACCCUUUAAUGUUUGAUGUUCUAACGUGGACCCGUUACCCGGGUUGCGGACAGUGUCUGGUGGGUAGUUUGACUGGGGCGGUCUCCUCCUAAAGAGUAACGGAGGAGCACGAAGGUUGGCUAAUCCUGGUCGGACAUCAGGAGGUUAGUGCAAUGGCAUAAGCCAGCUUGACUGCGAGCGUGACGGCGCGAGCAGGUGCGAAAGCAGGUCAUAGUGAUCCGGUGGUUCUGAAUGGAAGGGCCAUCGCUCAACGGAUAAAAGGUACUCCGGGGAUAACAGGCUGAUACCGCCCAAGAGUUCAUAUCGACGGCGGUGUUUGGCACCUCGAUGUCGGCUCAUCACAUCCUGGGGCUGAAGUAGGUCCCAAGGGUAUGGCUGUUCGCCAUUUAAAGUGGUACGCGAGCUGGGUUUAGAACGUCGUGAGACAGUUCGGUCCCUAUCUGCCGUGGGCGCUGGAGAACUGAGGGGGGCUGCUCCUAGUACGAGAGGACCGGAGUGGACGCAUCACUGGUGUUCGGGUUGUCAUGCCAAUGGCACUGCCCGGUAGCUAAAUGCGGAAGAGAUAAGUGCUGAAAGCAUCUAAGCACGAAACUUGCCCCGAGAUGAGUUCUCCCUGAGACUUUAGGUCUCCUGAAGGAACGUUGAAGACGACGACGUUGAUAGGCCGGGUGUGUAAGCGCAGCGAUGCGUUGAGCUAACCGGUACUAAUGAACCGUGAGGCUUAACCUUACAACGCCGAAG